UAAAAGUCGUAACAAGGUUUCCGUAGGUGAACCUGCGGAAGGAUCAUUAUUGAAUGAGACUUCUGGCUGGAUGCUGUUGUGCUGGCUGUCUUGUGGCAAUGUGCACACCUCUGGUCAUUUGUUUCUUCUGUUCCACCUGUGCACUGCCUGUAGGCACUCUGUGUCUAUGAUAUGUCACACACACACACAUAGAUGUAUGCAUAUUGCAAUGUUGGCAUUUUAUAUAUAAAUACAACUUUCAACAAUGGAUCUCUUGGCUCUCGCAUCGAUGAAGAACACAGCGAAAUGUGAUAAGUAAUGUGAAUUGCAGAAUCCAGUGAAUCAUCGAAUCUUUGAACGCAUCUUGCGCUCCUUGGCAUUCCGAGGAGCAUGCCUGUUUGAGUGUCAUUAAACUAUCAAAACACUCUUCUUGGGUGUUUUGGACUUUGGGAGUAUUUUUUUUGCUGGUCUGUUUGAGCCAGCUCUCCUCAAAAGCAUUAGCUCUGGAGACCAUCAGUGUGAUAAUCUGUUUACACUGACUUGAGUGUCUCUGCUUCUCCUUUUAAUCUGCCUUUGACCUCAAAUCAGGUAGGACUACCCGCUGAACUUAAGCAUAUCAAUAAGCGGAGGAAAAGAAACUAACAAGGAUUCCCCUAGUAACUGCGAGUGAAGCGGGAAAAGCUCAAAUUUGAAAUCUGGCAGUCUUUUUUUUCUUCUUUGGCUGUCCGAGUGUAAU
rnacentral:rRNA from 1 species